rnacentral:tRNA from 1 species
UCCCUGGUGGUCUUGUGGUUAGGACUCUGUGCUUCUAAUGCAGGGAGUGCAGGUUCAGUCCCUGGUCGGGGCA